GCCUGGGUGGCUCAGAAGGUAGAGCAUCUGAUUCUUGAUUUUGGCUCAGCUCAUGAUCCCCUGGGUCAUGGGAUCAAGCCCCAUGUCAGGCU
rnacentral:tRNA from 1 species